CCUAAGGUAGCGAAAUUCCUUGUCGGGUAAGUUCCGACCUGCACGAAUGGCGUAAUGAUGGCCAGGCUGUCUCCACCCGAGACUCAGUGAAAUUGAACUCGCUGUGAAGAUGCAGUGUACCCGCGGCAAGACGGAAAGACCCCGUGAACCUUUACUAUAGCUUGACACUGAACAUUGAGCCUUGAUGUGUAGGAUAGGUGGGAGGCUUUGAAGCGUGGACGCCAGUCUGCGUGGAGCCAACCUUGAAAUACCACCCUUUAAUGUUUGAUGUUCUAACGUUGGCCCCUGACCGGGGUUGCGGACAGUGUCUGGUGGGUAGUUUGACUGGGGCGGUCUCCUCCCAAAGCGUAACGGAGGAGCACGAAGGUUAGCUAAUCCUGGUCGGACAUCAGGAGGUUAGUGCAAUGGCAUAAGCUAGCUUGACUGCGAGCGUGACGGCGCGAGCAGGUGCGAAAGCAGGUCAUAGUGAUCCGGUGGUUCUGAAUGGAAGGGCCAUCGCUCAACGGAUAAAAGGUACUCCGGGGAUAACAGGCUGAUACCGCCCAAGAGUUCAUAUCGACGGCGGUGUUUGGCACCUCGAUGUCGGCUCAUCACAUCCUGGGGCUGAAGUAGGUCCCAAGGGUAUGGCUGUUCGCCAUUUAAAGUGGUACGCGAGCUGGGUUUAGAACGUCGUGAGACAGUUCGGUCCCUAUCUGCCGUGGGCGCUGGAGAAUUGAGGGGGGCUGCUCCUAGUACGAGAGGACCGGAGUGGACGCAUCACUGGUGUUCGGGUUGUCAUGCCAAUGGCACUGCCCGGUAGCUAAAUGCGGAAGAGAUAAGUGCUGAAAGCAUCUAAGCACGAAACUUGCCCCGAGAUGAGUUCUCCCUGAGACUUUAAGUCUCCUGAAGGAACGUUAAAGACGAUGACGUUGAUAGGCCGGGUGUGUAAGCGCAGCGAUGCGUUGAGCUAACCGGUACUAAUGAACCGUGAGGCUUAACCUU
rnacentral:rRNA from 1 species